rnacentral:rRNA from 1 species
GACGAACGCUGGCGGCGUGCUUAACACAUGCAAGUCGAACGAUGAAGAAGAGCUUGCUCUUCGGAUUAGUGGCGAACGGGUGAGUAACACGUGACUAACCUGCCCCUUUCUCUGGGAUAACGCUCCGAAAGGAGUGCUAAUACCGGAUACUCACAUCGAGGCACAUGCCUUGAUGUGGAAAGUUUUUCGGAAAGGGAUGGAGUCGCGGCCUAUCAGCUUGUUGGUGAGGUAACGGCUCACCAAGGCGACGACGGGUAGCCGGCCUGAGAGGGCGACCGGCCACACUGGGACUGAGACACGGCCCAGACUCCUACGGGAGGCAGCAGUGGGGAAUAUUGCACAAUGGGCGAAAGCCUGAUGCAGCGACGCCGCGUGAGGGAUGACGGCCUUCGGGUUGUAAACCUCUUUUAGUAGGGAAGAAGCGAAAGUGACGGUACCUGCAGAAAAAGCACCGGCUAACUACGUGCCAGCCGCCGCGGUAA